rnacentral:rRNA from 1 species
GUGCAGCAUAUCAAUAAGCGGAGGAAAAGAAACCAACAGGGAUUGCCCUAGUAACGGCGAGUGAACAGGCAAGAGCUCAGAUUUGAAAGGCACUUUUGUGCCGUUGUAUUCUGAAGUUAGGGUCCUGAGAAACGAUGCUUAAGUCUUCUGGAAAGGAGCGCCAUGGAGGGUGAUAGCCCCGUCUAGCAUUGACCUCAUAUAGGAUCUUAACAUGGAGUCGAGUUGUUUGGGAAUGCAGCUCAAAUGGGUGGUAUGCUCCAUCUAAAGCUAAAUAUCUGCGAGAGACCGAUAGUAAACAAGUACUGUGAGGGAAAGAUGAAAAGAACUUUGAAAAGAGAGUGAAAAAGUACGUGAAAUUGUUGAAAUGGAAGGGUAGGCCGCUAACCAUGUAGAGCCGUGUUUGGGGGGAAGAUAAAUGCUGUAGAAUGUAGCUCCUCGGAGUAUUAUAGAUGCAGUUCAUAUUCCCACCCGAGCGCGAGGAUCUCACGCAUAUCUUAAUGCAAAAAU